rnacentral:rRNA from 1 species
AUUGAACGCUGGCGGCAUGCCUUACACAUGCAAGUCGAACGGCAGCACGGGAGCAAUCCUGGUGGCGAGUGGCGAACGGGUGAGUAAUGUAUCGGAACGUGCCCGGUCGUGGGGGAUAACGUAGCGAAAGUUACGCUAAUACCGCAUACGAUCUUUGGAUGAAAGCGGGGGAUCGCAAGACCUCGCGCGAUUGGAGCGGCCGAUAUCAGAUUAGGUAGUUGGUGGGGUAAAGGCUCACCAAGCCGACGAUCUGUAGCUGGUCUGAGAGGACGACCAGCCACACUGGGACUGAGACACGGCCCAGACUCCUACGGGAGGCAGCAGUGGGGAAUUUUGGACAAUGGGCGCAAGCCUGAUCCAGCAAUGCCGCGUGCAGGACGAAGGCCUUCGGGUUGUAAACUGCUUUUGUACGGAACGAAACGGCUCUUUUUAAUACAGAGGGUUAAUGACGGUACCGUAAGAAUAAGCACCGGCUAACUACGUGCCAGCCGCCGCCGUAA